rnacentral:rRNA from 1 species
AAUGCUGGCGGCAGGCCUAACACAUGCAAGUCGAGCGAACAACAUCCGAACGUUGUUAGCGGCGAACGGGUGAGUAACACGUGAGAAUCUACCCAUCCCAACGUGAUAACAUGGUCAACACCAUGUCAAUAACGUAUGACUCCUGCAACAGGUAAAGAUUUUAUCGGGGAUGGAUGAGCUUACGGUAGAUUAGCUAGUUGGUGGGGUAAAGGCCUACCAAGGCAAGGAUCUAUAGCUGGUCUGGAAGGAUGGACAGCCACAUUGGGACUGAGACAAGGCCCGACCCUCUAAGGAGGGCAGCAGUGAGGAAUAUUGGACAAUGGGCGUAAGCCUGAUCCAGCCAUGCCGCAUGAGUGAUUGAAGGUCCAAACGGAUUGUAAAACUCUUUUCAUCAGAGAUCAUAAAUGAUAGUAUCUGGUGAUAUAAGCUCCGGCCAACUUCGUGCCAGCAGCCGCGGUAAUACGAGGGGAGCGAGUGUUGUUCGGUUUUAUUGGGCGUAAAGGGUGUCCAGGUUGCUAAGUAAGUUAACAACAAAAUCUUGAGUCUUAACCUCAUAACGUUGGCUUAAUACUGCUUAAGCUUGAGCUUGGAUAGAGACAAACGGAAUUCCAAGUGUAGAGGUGAAAUUCGUUGAUACUUGGAGGAACACCAGAGGCGAAGGCGGUUUGUCAUACCAAGCUGACACUGAAGACACGAAAGCAUGGGGAGCAAACAGGAUUAGAUACCCUGGUAGUCCAUGCCCUAAACGUUGAGUGCUAACAGUUCGGUCAAGCCAUACGUGUUUGAUCCAGGAUUGUACAGCUAACGCAUUAAGCACUCCGCCUGGGUAUUACGACCGCAAGGUUAAAACUCAAAGGAAUUGACGGAGACCCGCACAAGCGGUGGAGCAUGUGGUUUAAUUCGAAGCUACACGAAGAACCUUACCAGCCCUUGACAUACCAUGGCCAACCAUCCUGGAAACAGGAUGUUGUUCAAGUUAAACCCUUGAAAUGCCAGGAACAGGUGCUGCAUGGCUGUUGUCAGUUCGUGUCGUGAGAUGUAUGGUUAAGUCCUAAAACGAACACAACCCUCACCCAUAGUUGCCAUAAACACAAUUGGGUUCUCUAUGGGUACUGCUAACGUAAGUUAGAGGAAGGUGAGGACCACAACAAGUCAUCAUGGCCCUUAUGGGCUGGGCCACACACAUGCUACAAUGGUGGUUACAAAGAGCCGCAACGUUGUGAGGCCGAGCAAAUCUCCAAAGACCAUCUCAGUCCGGAUUGUACUCUGCAACCCGAGUACAUGAAGUAGGAAUCGCUAGUAAUCGUGGAUCAGCAUGCCACGGUGAAUACGUUCUCGGGUCUUGUACACACCGCCCGUCACACCAUGGGAGCUUCGCUCCGAUCGAAGUCAAGUUACCCUUGACCACAUCUUGGCAAGUGACCGA